AGUUCCUCCUCAAAUCACAGCCAAUCUACUUCCUGUAAAUUCCUGUAUAUCUCUGCACAUGGGCUGAUGAAGAAGAAAAGCUCAAAGAAGAAGCAUACAGCUGGCUCACUUCAUGGACGUCCUGAGCUCCACCUAAUGUUUGGCUGCGGGGCUUAGUAUCUGCUCCCAUCAGUUGCUAGAUGAAUUCCCUCUGGUUGUCUUGAUAAUGAUUCUGCUGGACCAUGGUUCCAGAACACUCUGAAGAUUGGAAAAACUAUAGAUCAAAGGUUUUAUGGCUGGAACAUGUCCUCACCCAACCUGCAACAUGGGUUCGAAGUCUUAUGAUUUUUCAAACAUCUGAAAUGACAAGACCACAGUCAGAAGUAUAAUACCUAACAUCCUAAGGACUAGAGAGAACCAAGAGAGAUGGAACUGGGAUCAGUUAAAGUGCUUCCCUGAUGGAUAACUGUCCACUGUUCUUCUAAGAAGGGGGAUGCUGAACAUCUCUGAAUAUAAACAUGGAAACCUUCCAUAACAUCUGCUGCUAAUUUCUGCCAGCUGAAAAGUGAUAAUGAUGAUGAAUACUUUUGUUGAUGAUGUGGAUACAUUGGUCUAACUAAAUUAACUUGCAGACUCAGGGCAUAUAAUUGAAAACACAUGAUUUGUGGUAUCACCUGGUUGGCUUUAUGGGUAGUUACAUAUUUAAUUGUUCCAAUACGUUUAACUUUAAAAAGCUAAAAGGGUAAAAUAAACCAGAAUAUUGGUAUAAUGUCAGGCUGAAUAUAGCUUGCUUAUUUGAUCAUCAUCAAAUAUUUUUGAAGGCAAAAAUUGACUGAAAAUUGUAUACUUAAGAUACUAACUUGCAAUUAUUGAUGAAGGGUGGUGAUAAUUAAGGUUUUCAGCUAGCCUGAAACUUCUUACUGUUAGCCUAAUCAAGUUUUGUUUUAUAGUGGAC
rnacentral:lncRNA from 1 species